ACUGUUUGUUUUUUUGUCUGUUUGUCUAGAGUGUAUUUUUGUUUCCACAUGUUUUUGCAUCUUUGUAUCCCUGUAAACAUUAUGGGCCAAAGCAUUCCCUCGACACACACGCAUCUACCCAAUAUGGAUUCAAACUCUCACAAAUUCCACAAUGGUCUUGGUGUUCAAAUGUGAAAUGUCUCCAGUCCCACUACUGGGGCAUAUCCAAUGCCAUGCUAGAGUUUAGACAAGCAUUAUAGCACACAAAAAAAAUCAAAAUGAAAUGACAAAUCAAGAAUAACUGUGACACUGUGCCAACAUUCUCUCUGCUAAUACAGAUAAUAUUAACAUUCCAAUGCUUUCAGCAAAAUGGGGUCUGGUCAUCUAUUUUUUUCAUGGACUCCUCUAGAAACCCAUCUAAAAUAACAUCACAGGAGGGAUAUCUUGCAGCAAAAAAAAUUACAAAUAUGGCAACUGGAAUGUUCAGGUUCAGCCCUUUCUCUCUCUUUUCCUCCUAACUGGAAUUCUGACACAUUGGCCAUAGCUGAGGAAAACAAAUGUAGGUUUGCACAGAGUUUUGUCCAUGUCAGUCACCACAAUCGUAAACGAAACAUUCUCAGCAGGUCUCUAAUGCCAGGAAUAUUCUAUUGGCUAGCCAAGGUGUCAAUCACUACAAUCUCAAACGUAACAUUCCUAUAAAGUAAGAAAGUCAAUAAAAGGCUGACAUUGAUUCCUAUGAAUUUCAGUGUAAUGUAUGUAGCACUCCACGGGCAAAAGAUGAGCACCAGCCAAAGGCUCGUGGUUGGUCUUGUGAAAACCAAUCAAACAUUGUAAAAGACUAACAUGCAGUAUUCAAAGCCAAAACCACAGAGUCAGUGCUGAUGUGAAAACUGCCCUUGAAGCAGACGAUAUAUUUGAAUCCACUUAGUGUUAAUUUCGAAAGCAGCCCAAAGUGGUUUUACUUUCACCGCUGUACCUCACUCUGUUUAUAAAGAUAGAUUUGUAUUUGUAUCCUAUUUGCCAGUAAAAAUUCAAUCAACUAUAGCUCAUCUCACAAAUGUUACUUAGUCAUCAUUACAUUAUUGUUAAGUGAUGUUCCUGAACACAGUAACUUUGUUUUAUUAAGUCAUUACCUGAAGCUACUUAAAUCACUGAACAGUUGAAUGUGGACAUUAUGCAAAGUACCUCUUAAAAAAAUAAAUAAAUAAAUGAAUUAAACAAGUUAACAUUUAAAACAACACAAAAGGUUGAAACCAGUGUGAUCCUCAGAUUCGCGAACGCUGUGCGUUUGUCAGACCUAUUUGCUAUUAUUUUUUAAUCAACGGUCAAUCAACUAGGCAUUAAAAGCAUCUUACUGUAUAAAUUAUGCAGAGUUAUUUUCAUAUGUGACAGUAUUAAAAGAUCAAGAGAAUGAAUACGAGUUGACCUCGGUCAAAUGCAAACUUUUUUAAGCCGGUGUUGAAGGUAGUAUGUACAGCACUAGUGUUUUGUAUCUGUACAUUUGGGCAAUAAAUUUAUGAAUGUUUUUUUGUUUUGUUUUGUAAUGUGCUCUGUGCCUUGUCGUAAUGAGGUGAAAGUAUUUGAUUUUGUUUGUUUUUCUUCUUUUUUAAUGAUACCACAAAUGCCUUGUAGAAAAUCAUUUUGCUUUAUAGACCAGAACUGUAAUACUGUAAGUGCCAAAAUAAAAAUAUUUUGUUGCUAAAGCUUCAGAUCCCAAAGUCAACAUUCAAACGUGCCUCACAAAUGAUUGCAGGGUCUUAAAUUAGACAGGUUUGAUAUUCCCAAGCUUGAAUUUUCUUAUAUGUAGAAGUAGAGCAAUACACAGUUUAAAUAAAUGAAAAAAAAAAAAAAAGAAAUACCCAACCAAUUCUCUUUUCAAAAUAUCACUAUCUAAUGAAGGAAUUGUGCUAUUUCAUAUAUGCAAUGUAUUUUGAAUAUUAAAUAUAUGAAUUUAUAUAAAAUAUAUAUAUAUAUAAUUUGCAAUUAUUCUUUUUUCUUUUUCUUUUCUUUUUCUUCUUUUUUUUUUUUUUUUUUUACUUUUGUUGUUCCUGCAAUGUAUUAUUACCUUUUAUAAAAGGGCUAUGUAGAUAAAUGUGAUGAAAAAUAAAUGUUUUUACAUUUUAAACUACUGAAA
ensembl:lncRNA